GUGAGUCAUCGAAUCUUUGAACGCACAUUGCGCCCCCUGGCAUUCCGGGGGGCAUGCCUGUCCGAGCGUCAUUUCUGCCCUCAAGCGCGGCUUGUGUGUUGGGUGCGGUCCCUCCGGGGACCUGCCCGAAAGGCAGCGGCGACGUCCGUCUGGUCCUCGAGCGUAUGGGGCUUUGUCACUCGCUCGGGAAGGACCUGCGGGGGUUGGUCACCACCACAUUUUUACCACGGUUGACCUCGGAUCAGGUAGGAGUUACCCGCUGAACUUAAGCAUAUCAAUAAGCGGAGGA
rnacentral:misc_RNA from 1 species